rnacentral:ncRNA from 1 species
GAAAGCUGUAUGAGGGAAAACCUCGCGUACGGUUUGACGAAGGGGGGGCAAGGGAAACAUGUUGGUAACAACAAUGAGCCCUUGUCCCACUCUAC